CUAUUUGUCUACGUCUACUUUCCUAGUUGUAUUGUAUUGCUGUACUUUUACUGUUUACAAAUACAUAGUCAGAGAGAAAAAAUAAAUUGGUUUAUUGUGCUCAUCUCCCUAUUAAUAAGCAAAAUUCUUCGGGUACAAUAAAUUAAAUUACUUUCACAGCCAAGUAUGUGAUAACAUAACCUUUGCUGAGGAUGGUGAGUUUAAACAUCAAAAUGAUUCCAAGCCUUGAUCUAUAACUAUGGAGCCUCUUCUGAGUUAUGUUUCUUUUCGUUUGACAAAUGGUUUGUUUGGAUUUUUCACAAGCAAAAUUAGCUUAUGAAACUAAAAAUUUAGAGAAGCUAGGAAAGCUUCUACAAAUUAUCUUAAUGGGGAAGCUAAGUUUAACUUUUCUUAUUUCUCUCCCUUAGAAGUGCUUAUGGAGAAACUCGUCCAAACAGGUCCAAGUUUUAGUCUCCACUAUUUUUUUUUGUCAUAUCCGCCUUCUCUUCUUUCUGCUCUAGUUCUCCAUCCAAGUUCCAUUCCAUUGUGAUUGAUUAUGAA
rnacentral:lncRNA from 1 species